CUCUCUCCACAGCGGAUGGUGAAUAUAACAACUGGUCUAAAUAUCACGAGAAGACGCACCCGUACGAGGCCGUCGACGACGAGUGCAGGUGAGCCCCUGUCCACAGCGGACGGUGAAUAUAACAACUGGUCUAAAUAUCACGAGAAGACGCACCCGUACGAGGCCGUCGACGACGAGUGCAGGUGAGCCCCUGUCCACAGCGGACGGUGAAUAUAACAACUGGUCUAAAUAUCACGAGAAGACGCACCCGUACGAGGCCGUCGACGACGAGUGCAGGUGAGCCCCUGUCCACAGCGGACGGUGAAUAUAACAACUGGUCUAAAUAUCACGAGAAGACGCACCCGUACGAGGCCGUCGACGACGAGUGCAGGUGAGCCCCUGUCCACAGCAGACGGUGAAUAUAACAACUGGUCUAAAUAUCACUCACACGUGACUCGUAACUUAAAAUAAUACUCGCGCGGUCCUCAUCAUAAUUUUUUUGGAAAACUUUUCUUGAAGCAUUUCAGGCCAUUAUCGAUCCCGUAUAACUUCGUUGUGGAUAAAACUAGAAGGUAAAGUUUCUUAAUUUUGUCACUCACAGACUGACUGACCAAUCAUCAAAACUUUCUAGCAGACGUAGAAGCUUCAAAUUUAGAAUACAAUUAGUGUUUAGUGUAUAAAUUAAGGAAACCCUAAAAUAUUUUGCAAUUUGGGACCAGUUUUCUAGAUACGCCAACUUCAUAAAUAACGUUUAAAUCCCAUAUUAAUGUGUGUUGCUUGCGUGGAUUUCGAAAUAA